UUUUUUUAAUAUAUAUAUAUAUAUUAAUUUUUUUAAUGAUCGACAUUCAUCACUUGUUAUAAAAGAAGGAGACAAUUAAUAAGAUUAAUAGAAUAUUUACCUCAUCAUUAUUCAUAACAAAACGGUCAAAUCAUUCAAGCCCAAAACUCUCCAUACUAGUUAGCACUAAAAAGAAAACCCUGUAAACUUCAAGGAAUCCUGGCUCUAUGUCUUUUAGUCGGGAAGUAUCUGCGCGCCGCCUGCAUGUCCUUCUGUCUCGAUCUGAGGCUUGGUUGGAACUUGACCUGCUCCUGAGGCCCUCUUAUAAUGUCAUCAAUUCUCAGAAGCAUGCAUGCUGCUUUUAUUGCUGUUUAGAAGGUUUGAGCUUUCACAUUAUAGGCAUCCCAA
rnacentral:misc_RNA from 1 species